CAGCAGCCCAACUCCUGAGAGCCCUGGGCCCUGUGGAACUUGCCCUCACUAGCAUCCUGACCUUGCUGGCGCUGGGCUCCAUUGCCAUCUUCCUGGAGGAUGCCGUCUACCUGUACAAGAACACCCUUUGCCCCAUCAAGAGGCGGACUCUGCUCUGGAAGAGCUCGGCACCCACGGUGAGGCCCCCGGGGCUGCCCUGUGGGGGGAACUGAAAAGAAGGCAGAGACCAAGGUGAGAAUUCCUCUAAACUCAGCACGUCACUUCGGCAAAGAGUGUCCUGCCACGACCCGCGGAGGGCCGAGGUUUGCAGGCCGACCUCCCCUUGCAGUUAGGAUCCUCUGCUUGGAAGGCUGUGCAGUGUUUGCAUUCUAAGGGCUGCGGAGACAGCUGGAGAUCUGCUCAGCCCACCAGCCGCCUCAUCCUUGCUCCCCGCUACAGUGUUGCCACUUGAAGAGCUUCCUUCAGUGGUUCCUCAGAGUGUGGGGGAAAGUCUCAUUCCACAGGGUCACACUCAGCUCCACCCUUACGCUGAGGCUUUUGAAACACCCUCCCACAGGUCCUUGGUUUGCUUGACUUAAUUAGUGCUUUUUCCAGCUGGCAACGUUUAAGGAACGCUGCCUCGAAUGUGUAGGUUUUGCCUCCUGUGUCCUUGCCGCAAAAGGCUUCCGGAGCCUCAGGGUCUCCCUCCCGCCCUCACCUGCUCCUGCCCCUUCUGAGCAGGUGGUGUCUGUGCUGUGCUGCUUUGGUCUCUGGAUCCCUCGUUCCCUGGUGCUGGUGGAAAUGACCAUCACCUCGUGAGUGCCCUGCCUCGCCCCACCUCCAAGGGCCCCUCUGCUCCCGCUCACCAGGACUCGAGUCCGUGUCCUUGAUCCCAGCUGACCAUGUAUCUGGCCCUUCCCAGCUUGUGCUAGUUCCGGGCUCUUGCGCUCCUGGCUCUGCUCAGGGAAUGCCUCAUUUUGGCAUCUGGCACAUUCCUCAGCCAGCCCUCUGUUCCCACAGUCUGAAAUUCCCCUUCUCCCAGUCCUGUGGGCCGUCUCCUCUCCCUCGCCCCUCUUGGGUCACACACCCAGAACGCCCAGCCCUAGCUCUGCUCCUCAGUAAGCCCCACCUCUCCCUGCUGUCUUUCUCUCUGGCAGCAGACCUCGUAGGCCCUCUUCUCUCCCCACCCCAGGUUUUAUGCCGUGUGCUUUUACCUGCUGAUGCUGGUCAUGGUGGAAGGCUUUGGGGGGAAGGAGGCAGUGCUGAGGACGCUGAGGGACACCCCGAUGAUGGUCCACACAGGCCCCUGCUGCUGCUGCUGCCCCUGCUGUCCACGGCUGCUGCUCACCAGGAAGAAGCUUCAGCUGCUGAUGUUGGGCCCUUUCCAAUACGCCUUCUUGAAGAUAACGCUGACCCUGGUGGGCCUGUUUCUCGUCCCCGACGGCAUCUAUGACCCAGCAGACAUUUCUGAGGGGAGCACAGCUCUAUGGAUCAACACUUUCCUUGGCGUGUCCACACUGCUGGCUCUCUGGACCCUGGGCAUCAUUUCCCGUCAAGCCAGGCUACACCUGGGUGAGCAGAACAUGGGAGCCAAAUUUGCUCUGUUCCAGGCAUAAUGACUGCCCUACAGUUUAACAGAGUUCUCCUCAUCCUGACUGCCCUACAGCCCUCCAUCUUCUCAGUCUUGGCCAACGGUGGGCAGAUUGCUUGUUCGCCUCCCUAUUCCUCUAAAACCAGUGAUGAAUUGCCACCUCCUCAUACUGGAGACUUUUCUAAUGACUGUGCUGACACGAAUGUACUACCGAAGGAAAGACCACAAGGUUGGGUAUGAAACUUUCUCUUCUCCAGACCUGGACUUGAACCUCAAAGCCUAAGGUGGAUGGCUUGGACAAUGAAAGGAUGCUGUACUCAUUAGAAUACAAGAUUCCUUUACUGUCCCUCAACCUUGACCAAAUGGGAAGCAUUCCCCCUUGUCAACACAAGCUGGCAGAUACAUUUGACUCUACAGAUGAAGGUGAACAAUGUUAGAAUAAAAUUGCUUUGGAUCUUGCCUGGAAGGUGUUUUAAGUUUUGUAAUAAACAAGAUGAUGUCUGAAA
rnacentral:lncRNA from 1 species